CGAAACAGCAGUGGGAGCAGUUAAGAUUCCGAAGGCAAGAGUCGCCAUGGCAACCGGAUUCAUCUCGCAGGCAGACUCCGCCUCCAGUCACCCGGUCCUGCUCGAAUCUCAAGGAACUACCAGCUCAAUGGCAGCAAGACGGUCACGGGUGGCAUUUGCUCUCCGUGCUCUGGGAGUAGAGACAGAACACCCCCAAAUCCAGGCUGUGAGCAACUUGGGAAGAGACCUUAGCAGGGUUUGAUGAAUGAGAUACAAUGUGGCGCCCACUGCGCAUGGAUUCCCCCACCAGUCCCGCAAACUCCUGGGAGUUGUAGUCCCCACGGUACAAGCGAAGCCAGGACGCCAGCGCUACCGGACUGAAGGAACUACAUUUCCCAGCAGACUCCGCGGCCCCUCCGUCCCCGCCCCUUGGC